rnacentral:rRNA from 1 species
GACGAACGCUGGCGGCGUGCUUAGCACAUGCAAGUCGAACGGUGAAAGCGGAGCUUGCUCCGCUGGAUCAGUGGCGAACGGGUGAGUAACACGUGGGCAACCUGCCCCUCACUUCGGGAUAACUCCGGGAAACCGGGGCUAAUACCGGAUAUGACCUCCUUGGGCAUCCUUGGAGGUGGAAAGUUUUUCGGUGAGGGAUGGGCCCGCGGCCUAUCAGCUUGUUGGUGAGGUAGUGGCUCACCAAGGCGACGACGGGUAGCCGGCCUGAGAGGGCGACCGGCCACACUGGGACUGAGACACGGCCCAGACUCCUACGGGAGGCAGCAGUGGGGAAUAUUGCGCAAUGGGCGAAAGCCUGACGCAGCAACGCCGCGUGCGGGAUGACGGCCUUCGGGUUGUAAACCGCUUUCAGCAGGGGAGAAGCCGCAAGGUGACGGUACCUGCAGAAGAAGCACCGGCUAACUACGUGCCAGCAGCCGCAGUAA